GAUGAACGCUGGCGGCGUGCCUAAUACAUGCAAGUCGAACGCUGGAGAUCUAGCUUGCUAGAUCGAAGGAGUGGCGAACGGGUGAGUAAUACAUAAGCAACCUACCCACGAAGACUGGGAUAAUCUCUGGAAACGGGGACUAAUACCGGAUAGGUAAUCGGAAGGCCUCUUCUGGUUAUUAAAGGUUAAAAACACUGUUGGAUGGGCUUAUGGCGCAUUAGUUAGUUGGUGAGGUAACGGCCCACCAAGACGAUGAUGCGUAGCCGGCCUGAGAGGGUGAACGGCCACAUUGGGACUGAGACACGGCCCAGACUCCUACGGGAGGCAGCAGUAGGGAAUGUUCGGCAAGGGGGGCAACCCUGACCGAGCAACGCCGCGUGAGUGAAGACGGCCUUCGGGUUGUAAAGCUCUGUUGUAAGGGAAGAACGGUAGAUAGAGAAUAUCUAAGUGACGGUACCUUACCAGAAAGCCACGGCUAACUACGUG
rnacentral:rRNA from 1 species